GUAACGGCCAGUGAAGCGGGACGAGCCCAGCACCGAAUCCGGCCUGGCGGUCGGCGGGGACUGGUGUGUGGGACGCCACCAGCCGCGAGAGCGGGCGCCGAAGUCCUUCUGAUCGAGGCCUCUCCCAUGGCGGGUGUAAAGCCUUUUCUGGUGCAGGCGAGCACGGCCGCGANCGUCCCAGGAGUCGUGUUGUUUGGGAACCCCAAAGCGGGUGGUAAACUCCAUCUAAGGCUAAAUACUGGCGCGANUCUGAUAGUGGACAAGUACCGUGAGGGAAGGUUGAAAAGAACUUUAAAGAUCGAGAGAGUUCAAGAGUACGUGAAACUGCCCAGAGUCAAACGGGUGGACCCGCAAAGUCGGCCGGCGGAAUUUAGCCCGGCCGGGAGACGGGGGCUGGCGCGUGCGGAUCUCACGACCGCCGCGCCGGCUUUUCGCUCUCCCGCCGGGUGCACUUUCUGCCGGCCGAGCGCCACGACACCGGCUCCCGGCCGGCCAGAGCCCGGCGAGGAAGGUGUGCGUUCUCCCCUCGUGGUGUCGUCCAUCGUUCCAAACCCGCAGGCNCAGUGAAAGCGAGGGCCUCCUUGGGAUGGCCAAGGCGGGAUCCCGUCCCCUCGCGGGGAGGGGGGGAAG
rnacentral:rRNA from 1 species